CAAUUUGGUUCGUUCGCUGAUCGCAGUCGACACUCUCAGCGAACAAUCUCAGAGAUGUUCGCGGGUGUGAACAUCAAAUCGGCGGCGACCCAUUAGCGCGCCGCGGUGGUCUUGGCACCCUCGAGAUCCUCCUUGGGAGUGACAACCAUCUGCUUCUUGCCGUAGCCAGAGUUGUACAUCAUCUCCUCGAGCACAGCCUCCCACUUCGCCGCGGGCUUCCUCCAGGACAGGUCCUGACCGAUGCACGUGGAGGACAUCUUGUUGUACGUGGGGGUGCCGUAGGUGGCGGCGGCGGCGGCGCAGGUGUCAACCAUGGCCUCGACGUCGUCGGGCUUGAGACCGUCGGGGUCCAUGGCGCCCAUGUGGAAGCCGGUCACGCCCUCCUUGACGGUGUCGACGAGGCCACCGGUGGAGGCGACGAUGGGGACGGUGCCGUACUGCAUGGCGUGGAGCUGGAUGAGGCCGCAGGGCUCGAAGCGGGAGGGGACCAUGAGGAAGUCGGCACCCGCGGUGAUGAAGUGCGCAAUGGGGUUGGAGAAGCGGACGACGCCAGCCAUGCGGGGGGACAUCUUGUCGAGCUUCUCGAGGGUCUUCUCCAUGGACUUCUUGCCGGUACCGAGGAUCACGACCUGGGCGUUGGGGCACUGCUUGAGGAGCUUGGGGACAGCCUCCAUCAUGAUGUCGCAGCCCUUCUGCUCCUCAAGACGGCCGAUGUAGCCGAAGACGGGGGCGGAGGGGUCGAGGGGGAGGCCAACCUCAGCCUGGAGCGCCUGCUUGGCGGCAGCCUUGCCCAUGACGACGGUGUUCUUGUCGUAGGUGAUGUCGAGGAACUUGUCG
rnacentral:lncRNA from 1 species